GACGAACGCUGGCGGCGUGCUUAACACAUGCAAGUCGAACGAAGUGGCGAACGGGUGAGUAACGCGUAAUCAACCUGCCCUUCAGAGGGGGACAACAGUGGGAAACGACUGCUAAUACCGCAUAAUGAAGGAGGGGAUUGCGUCUGAGUAGCUAGUUGGAGGGGCAACGGCCCACCAAGGGGAUGAUCAGUAGCCGGUCUGAAGGGAUGAACGGCCACAUUGGGACUGAGACACUGCCCAGAUUCCUACGGGAGGCAGCAGUGGGUAAUCUUCCGCAAUGGACGAAAGUCUGACGGAGCAACGCCGCGUGAGUGAUGACGGCCUUCGGGUUGUAAAGCUCUGUUAAUCGGGACGCGGUACCGGAAUAGAAAGCCACGGCUAACUACGUGCCAGCAGCCGCGGUAAUUC
rnacentral:rRNA from 1 species